UGGGGGAUAUUGCACAAUGGGCGAAAGCCUGAUGCAGCGACGCCGCGUGGGGGAUGAAGGCCUUCGGGUUGUAAACUUCUUUUGCUCUGAACAAGGCAUGCUAAUGGGUGUGUUGUGUGUAGGGGUUGAUUAGCGCCGGCUAACUAUGUGCCAGCAGCCGCGGUAAUACGUAGGGCGCGAGCGUUGUCCGGAAUUAUUGGGCGUAAAGGGCUUGUAGGUGGCUGGUUGCGUCUGUCGUGAAAGCUCAUGGCUUAACUGUGGGUUUGCGGUGGGUACGGGCUGGCUUGAGUGCAGUAGGGGAGGCUGGAAUUCCUGGUGUAGCGGUGGAAUGCGCAGAUAUCAGGAGGAAUACCGGUGGCGAAGGCGGGUCUCUGGGCUGUUACUGACACUGAGGAGCGAAAGCAUGGGGAGCGAACAGG
rnacentral:rRNA from 1 species